UACGAGGGGGGCAAGCGUUUGUUCGGAAUUAUUGGGCGUAAAGGGCGCGUAGGCGGUUUGACAAGUCUGAUGUGAAAUCUCUGGGCUCAACCCAGAGUCUGCAAUUUAGAAACUGUCGGGCUUGAGUAUGGGAGAGGUGAGUGGAAAUUUCCGGUGUAGCGGUGAAAUGCGUAGAUAUCAGGAGGAACACCUGUGGCGAAAGCGGCUCACUGGACCAUAACUACGUGGAUGCACGAAAGCUAGGGGAGCAAACAGG
rnacentral:rRNA from 1 species